CGUUAUGCUUGCUGUAUCGCUGUGUUGCUUUCUCCAUCCCUCACUGAUGCCGGGAGGGCACACACACACACACACAUCUCCGUGCGUGGUAUCCUCAGGGCACUGUGGCACGCGCUCUCCUUCUCUCUCUGCGUGGAUGCCCAGGCAGCUCCUAUUUAUCCCCUGCCCAACGUCGAAUGCAUCUCUUCUGCUGACAGGGUCCAAGUGCCGACGACGUAGGGAGGCCGGAGCGAUGCAUUGCUGCUGAUGCCGGCGGUCAGGUGAUGGGCAGUGUGGCGUCAGGGCGACCUGCGUCCGUGCACACACUUGUGCCAUCCACAUGAUGGGCAGAGUGUCAGCCUGGCUCGAGCGCAACCUAUCACCCGGAGCCCCUCGCACUGGCCCACUGAUGUGUGUGUGUGUGUGUGGGAGGGCGGGAGACCUGAGGCGCGUGGGGUGGGUGGAGUUUAAUGCCGGGGCCGUGCUCGCAGAUGACUACGUCGCCGCAUUGCUGUACGUUGCGCGUGUCUAGCGCUGCUUUGGACCAGGCGCAUGGCGCCCUCUGACGGGGCCGGUGGGGUCGAGCGAAGUUGAGCUCGUGUCACACGGCAGAGACUGGUCACGUUGCAGGUAAGGAGAGUCGUUGCUCUUGCCUCGCUCACACCAAAGGCACCCUCUCGUUGGCAAUUUUGUUUUCGUUGUCGCGCUCUCUUCACUGUUCUGACCGCGACGGAGGCGACGACUUUUCACCACCAAACGGUGAACGCUCUGUCUCCUUGUGAAAUGUGUGUGUGUGUGUGUUUCUCGGGGGUUGCACUUGUUGUCGUUGUGGUUUCGUGGACAGGGCCUCCCAGGGCCCUGACCUGAAUCUGGCCAACUUCCUCCUUGAACUCAUCCGGCAUGCACCUGGACCACCCCUUCUUACUCGUCAAGCGACAGAGUCCAAUGCCUGCGCCCUGACGCACAACCGUGCACGCGACCUACACCAAUCCACGGCGUGUAGGGCUAACCGGGUCACCGUCUGGCGCCUCCGGCACUGCACAGGUCGGAAGAAGGGCUGAGGCAGGACAGGAAGAGCCCGUUAGGCGGGCGGCCCCGAUUGCAUGGCAUGAUGGCUCGCCCUAGACGGUCAGGAUUCCGCUGUGGCGCAGGAGUGGCCGGUGAGCUGCGGUUGUGGGCGUAUGCUGUUGCAGACUUGUUCGCGGUUGAGUGGACACGUUGGAAUAAAAUCGUGGUCGGGGUUAUGUCUUGCCUUGCUUCCAUAGAGCAACUCUGGCUCCAACGUACGUGCAGAAGUGAUAUAUAUAUAUAUGCAGAGAAGAAAGCAAGUCUUCUAGCACGGCGUCAGUGCGGACAAGUUCCUCGGCAGUGGUCAGUGAUUACAGCCUUUGCCGUAAAACCUGAAAAGCAGCGGCGGAAGAAGAAACGAGUCACGGUCUGUAUCAAAACAUCCUUACAUGAUCGCUGUCAGAGGUGCGGGGCAUGCAACACUGUGCUUUUUUUUUCAGCACGCUGCGACGUGAAUCCUGCCGGUGUUCUACGGAUCGCUUGUGCAUCGUUGUGCGGUCAUCGCUUUAUUCCUCCGCUUCGCUUCGUGUUUGGCCUCGCAGCUGUAUGCCACCCUCUCUUCAUGCAGCCCACUCUCUCUCACGCACACACACGUAUUGGUCUGGCUGUGGGGCGCCCUCAUGCACAAACGGCUGGCGAAAACGUCUGGGCGCCCCCCCGAAG
rnacentral:misc_RNA from 1 species